CCGAGUACCGGGUCUUCCAGGCCCUUGCUCCCACCCUUUGUGUACCUUACCACUAUUCAGUUGCCUUGGUGGGCCGGCUUCGGUCGCCCGCCAGGGGGACCACCUUUAAACCCUUGUCAACGGAGUCGUCUGAGAACAAAACAAAUAAGUUA
rnacentral:misc_RNA from 1 species